rnacentral:rRNA from 1 species
GACGAACGCUGGCGGCGUGCCUAACACAUGCAAGUCGAGCGGAGAUGUAGGAGCUUGCUUCUAUAUCUUAGCGGCGGACGGGUGAGUAACGCGUGGGCAACCUGCCUUACACAGGGGGAUAACACAGGGAAACUUGUGCUAAUACCGCAUAACACAACGACGUGGCAUCACGAUGUUGUCAAAGGAGUAAUCCGGUGUGAGAUGGGCCCGCGUCCGAUUAGCUAGUUGGUGGGGUAAUGGCCUACCAAGGCGACGAUCGGUAGCCGAACUGAGAGGUUGAUCGGCCACAUUGGGACUGAGACACGGCCCAGACUCCUACGGGAGGCAG